rnacentral:lncRNA from 1 species
GAACUCAGGGAAGUCAAUGGUCCCAUUCCCAUCAGCAUCAACUUCAUUGAUCAUGUCUUGAAGCUCAGCCUCAGUUGGGUUCUGCCCCAAUGACCGCAUCACGGUUCCAAGCUCCUUAGUUGUGAUGCAACCUGCAGCACAGUUGCACAUAGUUAUUGAACAUGUUAAGUUUUAAGAGCUUACAGGUUACAAACACUUAAAACUAGUUUUUCACAUCCCCUCUCUCCCUUUUCCGCAGUUCUCUGCUCAAAGUGUACAACAACAAUAAGUUAGCCUCAAUCCCAAACAAGUUGGGAACAGUGAUAUGAAUCCUCACUCCUCCAUUCAAAGUGUAAGAAAGGAGAAAGAUAAACACAAGUUUCAUCACAAUAAUAAGAAUCCUAUGAAUGAUCCCAACAAUGAGGAAUACAGUUAACCAACAUUAAUAAGAACCCUAUGUGGCGAUCUCCAUAUAUAAGGAAGAAAAGCAAAAGGAAACUCAUAUCCAAACAGAACAGAAAUAAAAUUGGCAAAAUCACUUGAAUUCCAUUCAUCUAAAAGCAUCAACUAUUUCAAGAGGCAGCAGCUACUCAUAUUCGAGUACUAACUCUUGCUACCACUAUAUUUUACUUAUUACUGCUAUCUUCCAAUAGCAUACUACCAGCUUGUGGAUGUUUAUAGUUGCAUAUAAUUACAAACUUGGGUUUUUCUCAAGCACAUCUAUAGACUUGGACGCUCUUUUCUUGAAGUCAACACAUUACCACAUUGAACAAAUGGAAACAAUCCAUCAAGAAAUAAAGUCAAAGGUAUCAUGAUCCACAAAAAAAAAGGCAAUUGACUUGUAUAACUUGAUAUAAUCAAGAAAAAUGCAACUCCCAAAAACACGGUUUUCAAAACUUUCCAAACAAACAAAUUCCUAACUACCAAGAAAUAUCAGCCAAAGAAUUCGACACAUUGACCCAAAAUCUAGAAGCCACCAAUUUCUUUUUUCACCCAAGGAUGUUGCCUAGUUGUCAAUGCAGUGAGUUGGUUCAAAUCUCAGCGGAGGUUAAGACAAUAGGCGAUUUCUUCCCACUUAACCAGUACUUGUGGUGGAGGUAGCAAGUACCUAAUGAAUUAGUCAAGUGCAUACAAGUUAACCCAAUACCACCGUUAUCAAGCGAAAAAAGAUCUAGAAGCCACCAGCUUCACAAUGGAUCCAUCCAAACCCAAACCCAAAUUGAAACUACUCAGCUAAAGAAACAGCAUGUCCAACAAUCAAACACCGAAUCCCAGAAUUUCCCCAUAAUGAACACAAAUCUCAUAAUCCGCACAUCAAUAUCAAAUCAUGUAUCAAAACAACUGCCAAUCCAAAUUCUAGAAGCUACCAGUUUAACAUAAACUCAUCUUCAUAUCCAUUUCUAUCAAAACAGCAUAACAAAGAAUUAAACACCAAAUCCAACAAUAUUCCCUUAAUAAACAAAAACUCUAAAC